AGUGAACGCUGGCGGCGUGCUUAACACAUGCAAGUCGAACGAGAACGGAUUAUAGCUUGCUAUAAUUGUCAGCUAAGUGGCGCACGGGUGAGUAAUGUAUAGGUAAUAUGCCUCUUACUAAGGGGUAACAAAUGGAAACGUUUGCUAAUACCUUAUACUCCUUAUUAACAGAAGUUAAUAAGGGAAAGAUUUAUUGGUAAGAGAUUAGCCUGUAUUGUAUCAGUUAGUUGGUGGGGUAAUGGCUUACAAAGACUAUGACACAUAACUGGUUUGGGAAGAGAGUCAGUCAACCUGGAACUGAGACACGGUCCAGAGUCCUACGGGAGGCAGCAGUGGGGAAUAUUGCACAAUGGACGAAAGUCUGAUGCAGCAACGCCGCGUGGAGGAUGACACAUUUCGGUGCGUAAACUCCUUUUAUAUGAGAAGAUAAUGACGGUAUUAUAUGAAUAAGCACCGGCUAACUCCGUGCCAGCAGCCGCCGUAAUAC
rnacentral:rRNA from 1 species